GUGCAUAUCUCUGAUGUUCUCCAGCAAUGCAAAUCAUACUCUUAAAUGCAAUAAAAGUGAAAAAGAUUUGCGUAACAAAGAUGAGGAGACUCAACAUUUCUCAAUUGAAAUGCAAAAUUUAUUACAAAUAGUAGGCUAAAGACACAAUCUACCUUUCUGGCCUUUUGAAUUUCUACGUAUUACAUUCACAGCAGUACCAAAAAAACCAGGCAACCCCCAGCAAUUCUUAGUAAAACAUCUAGUAGUCUCCCAUGGAAUGCCAGUGAAUGACCAUAAGCAAUCAUGACUGGAAACUCGCAGUCACCAUCAGAUGGAUCCUUGUCUGUAAUUACUGCCAGACCAGAGAAAUCACAGUUCCAUUCUUUCUGGUCAUUCACCUGAUAAUACAUGUUGAAGGCAUAAGAAGCAUUCCCUUCAACACUAAGAUGAUUACAGGAGGACCCAUAACCCAAAGCAGUACAAUCUGAUAAACUGCAAGCAUAGUUAAUGCUAUCUGGCAAAUCCUCCAAAUCACUUGCAUCAGGGUCCAGAACACACCACCUUCUGUACAUAUACUUCACUCCUUCCACUGGAACUAGACCGUUGUCCUCUUUCAAGCCUGAUAAAUCCAAUUCAUAUUUUGGCUUCCCAUCAUACUCAAAUAACCCCCAAUGCCUCUCAAAGCUACCUGGAGCAAUGCUCUUAGCAUUCUCAUCAAUGAGGCUAAAUAGAUAAACAUCAAUCUUACCCUUUCUUGCUGGUGUUCCCUUUCCGCUCAAAACAUGUUGAAUUAGUCCUUGGUUGAAUCUCUUGGCAUUUGUGAUAUUGGAAUUUUUAUCACCAUCAGUUGGCCAACCAACUUCUCCAACUAUGAUUUUCAUAUCUGGAUAUCCUGACUUGUCUAAUGCCCAUACAAGAGUGUCAAAAUUUGCAUCAAACACAUUAUUAUAGACCAAGCCACCAUCUUUGAUUGGAUUUUUUGUUCCAUCAAAGAACGCAAAGUCUACUGGGAAGUGUUCGUCACUAUAGAGACUUAGGAAUGGAUAAAUGUUGACUGUGAAAGGUGCAUCGUUUGAAUGGAGAAACUGAACUAUUUGGAUUGCGAGGUCUCGAACUUCAGGUCGAAAGUCACCAGCAGAUGGAACUUGGUUUGGAUCUGCAGAGUAGUAGACAUCGGCAUUGAAGGGGACUGUGACUUUGACAUUGGAGCUAACUUUAGCACGGUCAAGGGCGUGCUGGAUAUUUCUUAAAGCUGGUAAAGUGACUUGCAGAUAGCUGCCAUUGUAUGUUUGAAGGAAGGGUUCAUUGCCUACAGCAACGUACUUGAUAUUAACUCCGCCAGUGUACAACCAACUAGUGACAUUGGCAUCAACCCAGGAAGCAGCAGCUGCAGGAUCUUCACUCAUCUGUUGCAACAUGUAAUUGGGUAGACCCAACAUCACCUCAAUGUCAGUGCCAAUCAGCGCAGCCAUAAUCCUCUCAUCGGCCUCAAAAAGCUUUAACUUCCGAAUCCCAUUUUGUCUCACCAUAUCUACCACCUUUUCUGGGGGGAGUUGGUGCGUUGACAUGGUGCCCCAGUUCACUCCAACACUAGUAACCCUAGAGGCAAUACUCAUUCUCGCACAAAGAACAAGCAGCACCGUGAUUUGGGCAACGUAUACUUGUCCCAUUUUUCCUUUCCUUGAAGAAUCUUUAAUGGCGUUUUGGGUUUAAAUGAAUCUUUCUUGAAUAGAGAAAGAAUCAAGAAUCUUGAAAGACGAGAAAACAAGAAAGAAAAUGAUUGGCAACUAGAAGUGAAACCAAAAGAGAGGGAAGAGGGAAUUUCUUGAUCGUUGUUGCAGAAUUUAAGAGCAUGAAAAGUGAGUGCCUUUGCUGGUCAUUGGCUCCUAGGAUGCUUCAUGGGGAAGGUGAGAAAUCUACUUGGUUGUUUCCUUUUCAAUGGGAAAAGUUCUGCAAAAA
rnacentral:misc_RNA from 1 species